rnacentral:lncRNA from 1 species
UUCUAUUGAUUUUUCUUUUUUCUUUUUGAUUUAUUUAGCGUGUGUAUGCAUGAGUGCUUGUGUGUAUGUGUGUUCACAUGUGUGGGGGUGUGCAUAUGCACACACAUUUAGAGGUCAGAGGACAAUUUGCUGAAGUCAGUUCUCUUCUACUUCAUGGGUUCUAGGGAUUGAACUCAGGUCAUCAGACUCAGCAGUGACUUUAACACCGAGGCUCCAUUAUCUGGGUCUAAAUGUUUUCUGCUUUGGACUUGUUUUUCAUCAAACCAGAAACCUCAUCAUAGCUAUCCUUUGGGAGGCUGGACUCCAGGUAAAAAUCCAUGCCUUUGAUCUCUGGCUUCUCAGGGUAGUUGGCAAGUUGCCUUGAUUUCUAAUGAAAACAUUAAAAAAAAAAAAAAAAAAAAAAAAGGAAAGAAAGAAAUUCCUUUUCUCAUAUUGUGCUAAUAAGAAUAUGUCUUUUACAUUUCCAGUGUUGUUAGUUAAUUAAUUAACUUUCCCAUUCUAGUAAUUUCUUCCACCAAGUGGUCUUUUAAUUAUAUAUAUGAUUCUGUUACUUUAAUAGAAGUAUAGUCACAAUCAGUCACUCUGAAAACACAGUACCCAGAGUCCAUAUUUUGAAAUUUUAGCACACACACAACACACACACUUCUGUAGCACAGGAGUGUGCAAAACAUUACAGGAAGUUCACUGCAAUUGAGUUCAAUCAUUUACUUGUACGGUGGUUGUUAAGCACUUGAAAGUACUUUGUUCCCAGGGAAGGGAGGCUAUAAAUGGGGUGCUUUCCUCCCCAGGCUCAGAGGGCUGUUGCGGAAAACUGUUGCCUUUUCGAUGAAAAUAGAAAACAAAACAACUGGUAACACAGUGACUGAGGAGAGGAGCGGAUCUAACAAAGUCAACCUGUUGGCUUUGAACAUGAAUUCCAGGACAGCAGCAUGAAGAGAUUCAAUGGUCCAGGCCCUUUGCCGGCUUAGUUGAAAGCCUGUGUUAUCUUCAAGGGCGCCAAGUUGAGCUUUUGUGCUGCUAUUGGUCCUGUUUCAUCCUUCCAGUUGACACAGAAAGUAGGCAAGAGGAAGGAAAGCCUUCCCGAGAUGCCCAGCGAGCUCAGAAAGAAGGGGGAGGGGGAAGCGUGGCCUCCAGUGCUGUACUUGGUCCUGCCCUGGGGACGACAGCUGUCCCCCUGGCUCACACAGCAUCCUCUCUGGGGAGCUGACCCAUUUUCUCUGGCCUCCCCACUGGCUCAUGGUGCAGUUUCUAGCUGUCUCUGGAAAAGCAUGCAUCAUGCCAUUUCAUAAUUGUUUACUUAAAUAUGUUCCCUUUCCUUGCUUAGGAACUUCUCAAAGGAAGAAAGAAUUUAAAUCCAUUAAAAAGUGGGGGGGGGGGGCGGUUUCAGGGACCUACCUAACACAAGAUGUAUGUUUCAUUUGUCAAAGUUUAGAAAGGAAGACAUUGCUCUUCCAAAGAGAAGGCUCAAGGCUGGGAAGGAGUCUUAAACUGCUACUUUGCAAAUGACAGUGGGUCUCCCCAUCCCUCCCCUGCCCCCCAGUAGCUGUGCCUUUCUCUGGAAUAUUCUUGGUGUGUAGAUGAGAAUAACUUUGCAGAGCUGGGUGGGCCUCUGACCUGGCUCCACAGGGGAAGACAGCAUGGUUUCCCACAGCCUUCAUGGUUAGUUCAGAGAUUUCCAGAUGGAAAUGUGAACUAGGUGUGUGUCAGGUCCAGAGGAAACUCCAUUUCCCCAAAGUCUGGUUGGUUAGACAAAAACCGGUUCUCCUCUACCAAAGGAGCCUUUUCCUUACCUCUGGAGGAAGGGACAAACGGCUACCUGUGGUGCCUAUUAGCAUACCAAAGUGCACGCUGGCCUCCACCACUCAGCACCCAGCUCCUUGCAGCUCCUCCCACAAGUUUCCCUACCCCCAGCCUUCCCUCCCUUAUUGAUCCAGCUAUUUUGACUGUGUUCUCUAUUGACCCUCUUUUGCCUUCUGUGGUCCUUUCUUUGUCUUCUUCUUUGCCCCGCCCCCUUCUUGCUUGUCUCCUGUCCAGGCCCAGGCUGCUGGCCAUGGUCAAUGUAUUACUUUCUCUGCUGGACUCUUCCAGAUGCCUCUGGCCAUUCUUUCCCUCAUGUGUACAAUACAAUCCUUCCCCUUAACCAUACCGUGGAGCAGUCCUGCUGCCAGUUUAUACGGUGUGUGAUAGAGCUGAGUCUUCCUACAUCUGAAGAUGUUAUCUCCAUCUGUUGAAUUGAACCUGAGGAGAUGCAAGGUCCCAGACAGCCAAAGUGAUGGUGUGGUGGUAAAUAUCCAGCAAUUACUUCUUGAGUUGGGGAGGGGGUUGGGGGGGGGGGGAGAUCUGUUGGUUUAUAACCUAUUCUCUUCCUGGAAUAGAAAUCCUUUUAGCAGUGUCAUUUAGAAGCUCUAUCAUAAUGCCCAUCACAUAGGGCUAAAUAUAGCCUCAAAAGCAUCCAUAAUAGAAAUUUAACUAGGAAGAGAUGAGCUAAGUGGACUUGUUACAUUAAUUUUUCAACAAAUUUAAUUUUAAUCUCAUAUAUAUUAUUUUUCAGGCAUUGUUCAAUACAGGUUUACGGAUUAUCUAAAAGUUGAUAAUUGUCUCUGAAUAAUUGGUAUGAACUAGAUCCAUCCAGUCACUCAUUGACCAAGAACCAUCUGCUCACCUUGGAAGAAGGAACUAAGCAAAUGGCCUGAAAUGAAAGCUACACAGCCCUAAGCAUGAGGCUUGGGCCCUGAACUCUGUAGGUCUACUGGCUCACUCAUGGGUAGUCUGUUAUCUGUACUUGAAAAAUUUUCUAAACAAAAUAGAGGUUUUGCAUAUUUAUCUUUUAAAC